rnacentral:rRNA from 1 species
GCCACACGUUNAUUUGAACUUCCCUUUAAACGCCAGGGUUCUUCGAGCCGAGCUUAAAACCCUAAGGAUUUGACGGUGUCCCACCCUACUAGAGGAGCUUGUUCUAUAAUCGAUGAUCCACGAUAUACCUAACCAUUUUUUGCUAUUCAGCCUGUAUACCUCCGUCGUAAGCUCACCGCUUGAGUGAGAAAAAGUAAGCAAAAGGGCCUAAAGCCAAAACGUCAGGUCAAGGUGCAGCUUAUAAAAUGGAAGGAAAUGGGCUACAAUUUCUAAUUUAGAAUACACGAAUUACUGCAUGAAACAAAGUCAUGAGGGUGGAUUUAGUAGUAAGUGAGGAAUAGAGAGCCUCACUUAAUUCAGCCCUGGAACGCGUACAAACCGCCCGUCACCCUCUUCGAUAGCUUCAUUAAUAGUUAANUAACCUAUUCACCGCGUUUUAGAAGAGGCAAGUCGUAACAUGGUAAGCAUACUGGAAAGUGUUCUUGGAAUAA